rnacentral:tRNA from 1 species
AAGGAUUUAAGUUAACUAAAACUAGUAGCCUUCAAAGCUUCAAAUAGAAGCAAUCUUCUAAGCCUUA